rnacentral:piRNA from 1 species
UAAUCAAAAUUGGAACCAUUACCAUCAAC